rnacentral:rRNA from 1 species
CCAGAGAACUUAGCAGAGAUGCUUUGGUGCCUUCGGGAACUCUGAGACAGGUGCUGCAUGGCUGUCGUCAGCUCGUGUUGUGAAAUGUUGGGUUAAGUCCCGCAACGAGCGCAACCCUUAUCCUUUGUUGCCAGCGGCUCGGCCGGGAACUCAAAGGAGACUGCCGGUGAUAAACCGGAGGAAGGUGGGGAUGACGUCAAGUCAUCAUGGCCCUUACGGCCAGGGCUACACACGUGCUACAAUGGCGCAUACAAAGAGAGGCGACCUCGCGAGAGCAAGCGGACCUCAUAAAGUGCGUCGUAGUCCGGAUUGGAGUCUGCAACUCGACUCCAUGAAGUCGGAAUCGCUAGUAAUCGUAGAUCAGAAUGCUACGGUGAAUACGUUCCCGGGCCUUGUACACACCGCCCGUCACACCAUGGGAGUGGGUUGCAAAAGAAGUAGGUAGCUUAACCUUCGGGAGGGCGCUUACCACUUUGUGAUUCAUGACUGGGGUGAAGUCGUAACAAGGUAAGCGUAGCGAG